rnacentral:rRNA from 1 species
UACAGAGGGUGCAAGCGUUAAUCGGAAUUACUGGGCGUAAAGCGUGCGCAGGCGGCUUUGCAAGACAGAUGUGAAAUCCCCGGGCUCAACCUGGGAACUGCAUUUGUGACUGCAAGGCUAGAGUACGGCAGAGGGGGAUGGAAUUCCGCGUGUAGCAGUGAAAUGCGUAGAUAUGCGGAGGAACACCGAUGGCGAAGGCAGCUCCCUGGACCUGUACUGACGCUCAUGCACGAAAGCGUGGGGAGCAAACAGG